UAAGUAUACUCCUGUGGUCUACAAACUACUUGGGUGUGGCACCGCUGGUCGACUGAAUGGACAGAGAGAUGCAAAUACAUGAAGGAGACGGUGGAAGAAUAGAGAAAUGAGUGCUGGCAUUGAGCAGCAACAAAGAGCAACUCAUCAAACAGCACAGAAUACCUAUAGUAUUGGAGCAUAUUUCAUCAGACUGCAAAAUAUGAGAGGCAACCUGUGACCACAAGACUGUUGAGGAAGUGGAUACAGGAAGCUAAUGAGGAACUGCAUGAUUGGUUAGAAUACACAAAUUGGAACACGCUAUGAGAGUCACACAGGGAGGAGAUUACCAGCAUGACAGAGUGUACCACAGACUUCAUUACAUUCUGUGUUAAUAACGCUCUACCAGUCAAGGCAGUGCGCUGUUUCCCCAACAACAAGCCCUGGAUCACCAGGGACCUGAAGGAGCUACUAAAUAAAAAGGAAAGAGCCUACAGGACUGGAGACAGAUCGGAGCUGAGGUGUGUGCACAAGGGAUUUAAGAAGGAAGUUGGAGAUGAAGCUUCAGUAAGAAAACAUGAGCGAUGUGUGGAGUGGGAUGAAGCAGAUCACUGGCUUCAAGAUGGGCAAUGACAGUCGGAAGGAAGCCUGGACAGGGAUAAUGAGCCCCCCACAGAAUACUCAGAGUCAUCAUCACUCAUAUAAUGUUAAUGUGAUGAAGGAGAGACUGGAGCUGGAACACAGUACCGGACCCCAUGUGCUUCUCAAACCAUCACAGCUGUAAUGGAUGCCAUCACUUAUCUGUUUUAGCAAGCACAUUUUUGAUGAUUUCUCAAGUGCCUUAAACACCAUACAGUCUAAACUGCUGAUGAUGCUGGAUCAUGGACUACCUAUGUGACAGGCCCCAGUUUGUUAGAUUGGGUAGCAGCAUGUCUGAACAGGUGGUGAGCAGCACAGGAGCAUCACAAGGGCCUGUUUUGUCUCUAUUCCUGUUCACACCCUACACCAGACUUCCAGUACAACACUGAGUCAUUGCCAUGUGUGCAAUUUCUCUGAUGACUUUGCUGUGGUAGGGUGGAUCCAAGUUGGGCAGGAGAUGGAGUACAGGAUGGUGGUGAACAGAUUUAUGAAGUGGUGUUAUACCAACAAACCAAGACCAAUGAGUCUGCUGGACAAUAAGAAGAAGAAUGGUGAUAGCCCAGUCUGUCUUCAUCAAGGGAGAGGAAGUUAUGGUGGUCAGUGAUUAGAAAUAUCUUGUUGUCCACCUUUAUAACAGACUUGACUGAAGGACCUACAGCAAGGCGGUCUACAACAAAGGUAUGAGCAGACUUUACUUCCUGUGGAAACUCAGAUCCUUCAGUAUAUGUACCAGAUUUCUUUCUACCAGUCUAUGGCUGCAAGCACAGUAUUGUUUGCUGUAAUCAGUUGGAUUGAGCAGCAUCCGGAGCUGGCAAAGAAAAGAAGCUGUGUAAGCUAUUCAGAAAAGCUGGCUCUGUUUAAGGCUGCAAACUGGACACCCUGGAGGUGGUGGUGGAAAGACGAAUGGAGGUCAAAAUUGAGAGAAUCACAGACAAUAGCAAACGCCUCCUCCAUGCCAUACUGGCCAAAAUGUGGAUCUGCUCUUCAGCAGACUACAGCAGCUCCACUGUAACAGGGAAAAGUACAAGAAGUCAUUCUAGCCCACUGCUAACCUUACAAUGAGUCAGCAACAAUCUGUAAACAACAUGGAGAGCUGUUUAUAAAUAUAUAUUUAUUCUCUCUUAUUUGUGGUUUCUAUCUAUCUAUCUAUCUAUCUAUCUAUCUAUCUAUCUAUCUAUCUAUCUAUCUAUCUAUCUAUCUA